CUUUUUUACCAAACAUGUCUUAAUGAUUAUUAUAUUAAGUCUAACCUGCUCAAUGAUUUUAAUUAAAUAGCCGCAGUAUUUUGACUGUGCGAAGGUAGCAUAAUCAUUUGUCUUUUAAUUUGAGGCUUGUAUGAAUGGUUGGAUGAGAGAGUGUCUUUCUCUAUAUUAAUCUUGUGAAUUUAAUUUUUAGGUUAAAAAGCUUAAAUACUUAAAAGGGACGAGAAGACCCUAUAGAAUUUUAUUUAAUUUAUAUUAAUGCAAGUUUUUGGGUUAAAUUACUUAUUUAUUAUAAAUUAAAUUUUGUUGGGGUGACAUUGAGAUUUAAUUAACUCUUAAAAUUUAUAUCUUAUUUAUUUGUAUAUUAGAGAUCCUAUUUUAAGGAUAUUUAGAUUUAAUUACCUUAGGGAUAACAGCGUAAUUUCUUCAGAGAGUUCUUAUCGAUGAAGGAGGUUGCGACCUCGAUGUUGGAUUAAAAUUAGAUUUAAGUGCAGUAGCUUAAUUUCUAGGUCUGUUCGACCUUUAAAUUUUUACAUGACGGUUUUUUAA
rnacentral:rRNA from 1 species